UACGGGGGGGGGCAAGCGUUUGUUCGGAAUUACUGGGCGUAAAGGGCUCGUAGGCGGCCAACUAAGUCGGAUGUGAAAUCCCCAGGCUUAACCUGGGAACUGCAUCCGAUACUGGAUGGCUUGAAUUCGGGAGAGGGAUGCAGAAUUCCAGGUGUAGCGGUGAAAUGCGUAGAUAUUGGGAGGAACACCAGUGGCGAAGGCGGCCACCUGGACCGGUUCUGACGCUGAUGCGCGAAAGCGUGGGGAGCGAACAGG
rnacentral:rRNA from 1 species